rnacentral:lncRNA from 1 species
GGUAAACCGGAGGAGGAGGAGAUUUGUACUCGUAAUGCUUCUUAGGUGGUGGAGGAGAGUGGUAAACCGGAGGAGGAGGAGACUUGUAAACCGGUGGAGGAGGAGAUUUGUACUCGUAGUGUUUCUUAGGUGGUGGAGGAGAGUGGUAGACUGGAGGAGGAGGAGACUUGUAAACCGGUGGAGGAGGUGAUUUGUACUCGUAGUGUUUCUUAGGUGGUGGGGGAGAAUGGUAAACCGGAGGAGGAGGAGACUUGUAAACUGGUGGAGGAGGAGAUUUGUACUCGUAGUGUUUCUUAGGUGGCGGAGGAGAGUGGUAAACUGGAGGAGGAGGAGACUUGUAAACCGGUGGAGGAGGAGAUUUGUACUCGUAGUGUUUCUUAGGUGGUGGAGGAGAGUGGUAGACUGGAGGAGGAGGAGACUUGUAAACCGGUGGAGGAGGAGAUUUGUACUCGUAGUGUUUCUUAGGUGGUGGAGGAGAGUGGUAGACCGGAGGGGGAGGAGACUUGUAAACCGGUGGAGGAGGUGAUUUGUACUCGUAGUGUUUUUUAGGUGGUGGAGGAGAGUGGUAAACCGGAGGAGGAGGAGAUUUGUAAACCGGUGGAGGAGGUGAUUUGUACUCGUAAUGUUUCUUGGGAGGAG